CUUGGCUACCACACCAUCCUGAACAUGUCUAGUUGUGUCUGAUUUCAGAAGCUGAGCAGGGCCAGGCUUGAUUAAUACUUUGAUGGGAAAUCAUCAGAGAAUUCCAGGAAUCUCUAGGC
rnacentral:rRNA from 1 species